rnacentral:rRNA from 1 species
AGAGUUUGAUCCUGGCUCAAGAUGAACGCUGGCGGUGUGCUUAACACAUGCAAGUCAAGCGAAGCAAAUCAGAGGAAGUUUUCAGAUGGANAUCCGAUUUGACUGAGCGGCUGACGGUUGAGUAACGCCUGGGUAACCUGCCUUAUACAGGGGGAUAACAGUUAGAAAUGGCUGCUAAUACCGCAUAAUGUAUUUUGACCGCAUCAUCGAAAUACCAAAGAUUUAUCGCUGAGGGAUGGACUCACGUCUGAUUAGGUAGUUGGUGGGGUAACGGCCUACCAAGCCGACGAUCAGUAGCCGGACUGAGAGGUUGAUCGGCCACAUUGGGACUGAGGCACGGCCCAGACUCCUACGGGAGGCAGCAGUGGGGAAUAUUGCACAAUGGGCGCAAGCCUGAUGCAACAACGCCGCGUGAAGGAAGACGGUUUUCGGAUUGUAAACUUCUGUUCUUAGUGAAAAAUAAUGACGGUAGCUAAGGAGCAAGCCACGGCUAACUACGUGCCAGCAGCCGCGGUAAUACCUAGGUGGCAAGCGUUGUCCCGGAAUUACUGGGUGUAAAAGGGAGCCCCAGCCGGUUGAUCAAAGUCAACUGUGAAAACUAUGGGCUUAACCCGUAGACUGCAGGUUGAAACUUGUUCAUUC